UCCGCCUGCCGCACACACGGACACUGUCCUGGCUCCUUCGGGUGAAUCUCUUCAAUCCCAUAUUCCGCUGUCAUCCUGGGUUGUUCCUAUCGGCCCUGAGUCCCAUAGGGCAGAGCCUCUGCCCCCCUGGUCACAGCAGCCUCAGCAGGGCAGGAAGGAGACUCAAAGGUGUUCUUGUCCAGGCCUCUGUCCCCGUGCCCGAGUCCUUUGCGGGUCAUGUCGCUGGAGGGUGGGUGUGAGUCCCCAGCCCUAGGACUAGGGAGCCCUCGUCUGCCCGGGACUUUGCCUCCCAGAAGUGGCCUGGAACCUGGGGAUGACAUGGAGGCGUGGCCCCAGCCCAGCCAAGACGUGGGCCGGCAGCUGAGGCUCUGGGGCAUUCCAAGGCCUCUGCCAGGCUCCUGGGCCCCAGGGCCUGCACACGGCGGAGCCCUCAGGACCCGUGCUUCUAGGCCUGGACUCGGGUAGAUGCUGGGAAAGGAAGGAUGCGCCCAGGGCAGUCUGUUGGGGUUGCACCAUGCUGAGAAAGGAGGUGCUAAAUGGUGUCCCCCCAGAGAUAAGCCCCUCCUCACUCCUGGACCUGCGGAUGAAGUUUAUUUGGAAAACGGCU